UAGAUCCCCGUGCUUCAGUAAGUGCUCAGUGGCAUAUUAUGCGGAUUCGAACAAAUUUCGUUUAUACUAUUGGCCUAUUAGUUAGUUUAGAAACUGCACGAAACGUUUAAGACGAAACAUUGUGGGCCAGGGAGCGAAGCGGGUAGAGCCAUGAUCUAAAAAUAUGCAACUAUUGGGAAUAAACGCAUCCUCGCUAAAGAUCCUUCCUUGUGGCUGAUUCCUAAAAAAAAAGGAGUUGUCCCAACUAAAGAUGGAUUGUGAAGAUUAGACAUCACCAAUCACAGCUCGGUUUAUGUGAGGCCUAGUUGUGGCCAUGGUUGUGGCAUCACGGAACACUAGUACCGUUCGCUACGGCAAAAAAACUGAAGUUCUAAACGAGAAAAAUCUGCUGGUUGACAGCUCGAUUUAUUCGCUCGGGAAAAUCUUUCUAGCGGCUUCAUGUUGAGUGUUCACAGUAAUACGAAGACACAGUACUUUCUGCGCUGUAAUUUUUGGGUCCGACAUUUCCUUACUCUGAGAAUCUUCCACGCGUAGACAACUCACUGGGGUUCCCCUUUAAUACAAGCAAAUUUGAAACGCAAUCCAGACUUUGUUCCAGAUACAAAUGUGUCAAAUAAACUUGGCACUGGAUAAUGCUCGGAAAACAUUUCCAUACAGGCGCCUGGAUGAAGUUCUACUAGACGAUCAUUGUCCAUUGUAGAGAAGAUAAAUUGUCUCGAAUACCUAAAACUAGAGUACUGGCUUCUAUGUUCCGGUUUACCGUUGACUAUUUGGUUCUGGUCUACAGCUGCUGUUGUAACAGUGAAUGGCCAAUUAGUAAGUGUGAUGGAGUAACAACUGAAUAAUCAUUAGGAUCAAAGGAUAAUGGACUUAGCGGUUCCGAAUUUAGUAUAGCUUCUACUUCCAUGAGUAAAGUAUAAUGCUUCUCAAGCGUAUAAAAGAGGAUUUUAACUAUUACCGUAAGGUGUCUUUUUCUGCUCUUCACUUGCAGCCUCCGAUAAGCCUAAAAAAUGCAGAGCUCUGGGUGAAACAAAGUGCAGUGUGAUUUGUUGUACAGCUAGCUAAUUCUGUAUCUCGGUUUCCUCUUUUUCGAGAAAUCCGUAAAUCUCGUUGAGUUUCCCAACGGGUCCUACAAAAUUAGGCUCAUAAUCAAGACAAAGUAGUUGAUAAUUGUCGAUCGCUUGGGAAGGUAGAUCGGGUCCUCAGGAUGUCUAAAUGAGAAGUUAAACUGUUUUCGUUGAGUGAUAAACUUAAAAUGUGAGUACAUUCGAGGGUGGGAAGUCACGAAGUGAGAUACUGAGGGAGUUUGGCUUGCCCUAGACCACCCUUUUAUAAGAUCAUAAAAGAUAUACAUAUGUAUAUUCCGUAAAGUCGCAGUGCUCUGAAGGAUACGGAAAUAUUAAGAGGAACCGAGCUGUUGAAUUUUCUAACGUGGAAAAGUCCCUCGUGUAAUGGUUAAACAAACUCUCGAUAAAAAUAUUCCCAUUAAUGGACCAUUGUUAAAAUAAAAAGCUAAAAACUUUGCCACAAAGCUCAGAUUACAGAACUUUUCAGCCUGGAACGGCUGGUUAGAGGAUUUUAAAAAGCUAUAUGACAGCUUUUAAGCAAG